rnacentral:rRNA from 1 species
UACGUAGGGUGCGAGCGUUGUCCGGAAUUAUUGGGCGUAAAGGGCUCGUAGGCGGUUUGUCGCGUCGGGAGUGAAAUCCACUGGCUUAACUGGUGGCUUGCUUUCGAUACGGGCAGACUGGAGGUAUGCAGGGGAGAACGGAAUUCCUGGUGUAGCGGUGAAAUGCGCAGAUAUCAUGAGGAAUACCAGAGGCGAAGGCGGCUCCCUGGACAAUAGCUGACACUCAGGCACGAAAGCGUGGGGAGCAAAAGGG